rnacentral:lncRNA from 1 species
UUCCCAAAAAAAAAAAAAAAAAAAAAAAAAGAAAAAAAAAAAAGUGAUAUGAGGACGUUGAAUGGGUGUGAAAAGCAUUACUCAUAGUCCGUUGCCAUGUGCACUGGCCCAAUCCAAUCAGUCGAAGCCACACUAGUUAGGCUUUUUCACAAAUUUUACCCACGUUUCGGCCUACUAGUAUUUGUGUUACGCCACUGACACCCCUUACAAUCUGUUCGAACCCGUUAGAUUUGCACUUACCAUUUGGGCCUUAAUUUGAAUUAUAUUAGAAACCAAAUUGUCUAAUUUAAUAAUACACGUUAUUUUCAACGUCAAAAAAAAAAAAAAAAAAACAGAGCUCAUAUAAUAUAUUCGAUUGAAAUUCCUUAAAAGAACGAUAUUACAAAAACAAAGGUCAAUGUAAACAAUAAAUUGACCAACAACUCCACAAGUUAAAAAGUUGGCUGUAGAAAUUAGGGACUUCAGGAUGUUGAUAGGUUCGUAGAGAAAUUUCUUUGAAAAAUCCUUUUUCCAUUCGAUUUUUACAGUAAAUUUUAUUUAUUUAUCUCUUAAAAAAUUCUUAAUUAAUGCCAGGAAACAUCAAUCACUUGCUUUCUUUCGUCAGUUGAAAAUAAGUGUGGGGUUACUUGUGAAAAUGAAACAGGCAAAAUUAGAAUUUAUGUGAUUCGUACUUAUAUUUUGUGGGGUAAAUUAGAAUUAAUUAAUGUAAUUUUUGGGGUAAAUUUAUCUUUUUACUUUAUUUUGAGUUGCAAGGGUAAAAUAGUUAAUUUGUCACAAUUAUGUUAACUUUCUAACGGAAGUUAACGGAUUGGUGGACGUCAUAAGUGUUUUGUCAACUUAGGGUAUACGAGUGAUACACUUGAAAAGUAUUCACACACGUUUGAUGCGAGUGUCAUUUAAGAGUAUAUGAUUGAUAAUUUCUCCUUUAUUUAUUUAUCUCUUAAAAAAUUCUUAAUUAAUGCCAGGAAACAUCAAUUGCUUGCUUUCUUUCGUCAGUUGAAAAUAAGUGUGGGGUUAUUUGUGAAAAUGAAACAAGCGAAAUUAGAAUUAAUGUGAUUCACACUUAUAUUUUGUGGGGUGUCAUAAGAAAGGGAUUUUGUUUUUUAUAUUUCUGAGACUAGCCCAACCAGAGCAGAACAAUUUUCAGAAAAAAAAAAACACCACAACAAAGUUAAAUCAAAACCCGAAUAAUUAAUUUCGGUAAAAACUAACAUAUAGCUCGCUAUUACAUAAAUUUGUCACACAGAUGGAAUAUACGUCACCAAAUUAUUAUUCUUAAAAAGCAAAAACAGAUUUGAAAUCACAACAAAAGACUAACAUAAUCUAAAACUUAGACGAUGUUGUGACUCGACAAUAAACGCACAUUCCUCAUUUUAAGCGCAACUCAAAAGGAAGAAAAUUUUAAGGGGUGGACUUCAUUGUGUUUGCAACGUCGAUGACAAAGCGAUAUCUAACAUCGGCUUUAGCAAGGCGCUCCAGGGCUGUGUUCACAUAGUCGGCCGGUAUGACCUCAAUAUCAGCUCUGAUGUUGUGUUUUGCCGCAAAAUCAAUCAUCUCUUGAGUCUCCUUCAUCCCCCCAAUCAUGCUGCCACCAACUAUCUUCCUCCCUGAAAUUGCACAACACUUUCGUUAGCCACAAGAGUUCCAAAGUAAUAUGUAUCUUAUAUCUUAACAAAGAAAAAUGAAGUAACAUAAGCGCAGAUCACUCACCCAUGAGCAGGGAGAAAGCUGGUAGCUCCAGUGGCUUCUCUGGUGCACCAACAAGUACAAGCUUUCCUUGAGAUUUCAACAGUCCAAUCAACGGCAUUAGAGGGUGAACUGCAGAUACUGUAUCGAUAAUACCAUCCAUUGUGCCCAUGGCAGCCUUCACAGCCAACAUUAACAAACAAAUCAAUUUAGCAAGCAAGAAUGAUGGACCAAUGCACCUCAACUCUCAAGGAAAGAAACAUGUUCAAAAUAAGCGCACCCAGAAUCAAAAAGGGGCGAAAAAACCGUACCUGCAUCUCAUCUUGAUCACGACUGACCAAAAAGGAAUCAGCGCCAAGACGUUCAAUGGCUUCACUCUUCUUGCUAGGGGAGGUACUGAUCACAGUCACCUUGACCCCCAUAGCCUUUGCGAAUUUGACGGCGACAUGGCCUAGACCGCCCAAGCCGACAACACCCACAUGCAUACCAGGCUUGUCGAGUCCAUAGAAUCUCAACGGACUGUAGACUGUGAUACCAGCACAGAGGAGAGGGGCAGUGGCGUCAAGUGGUGUGCCUUCAGGAAUACGGACCACAAAGUGCUCAUCGGCAACCAUAAUGUCAGAGUAGCCUCCGUAUGUGAUGGUUCCAUCAUGGUACUUGUUGGCAUAGGUCAUUAUAACUUUGGGGCAGUAGUUCUCAAGAUCAAUGGCGCAGCUAUCACAAGAGUGGCAUGAUCCCACCAUGCAUCCUACUCCCACUUUGUCUCCGACUUUGAAUUUACUCACUUUGCUUCCGACCUCUGUCACUACGCCCACAAUCUCAUGUCUGCAUUUCCGUUUGCCGGUUCAAUUUUUUUAAUUUAGUGACUUGAAUUUCAGAUGGAAUAAAAUUGAACAUAACAAAAUACGCAAAUAAUAAAAACCAGAGGACCAACAAAACUCAUAUUCAUUCGCAUACAAUUCGAUACAUUUGGUAAGUUAAAUGUUUCUUAUGCUAUGUAUAUCUAGAGACUGCAAUUCCUUUUUUUUUUUUCUUUUUUUCCUUUUUCCUUUCUAAUGAAAGAAUUAUAUUUAAUUUCUUCAUUAAUACUUUCCUAAUUUCCUAAUAGCAAGGGAAUUGAUGAAUAAAAAAUAACGUUGGUCCAGCGCAGCGAUCAGACAGUACAGAAACAUUUUAUUUUUGAGGUUUAUGUGGCUUAUUUAACACAUGCUUUCCUGGUGCAGACUCCAUUGACACGCUUUCAUUUUUUUUAUUAUUGUUAAUAUUAUUUUAAUUCGUUUACUAAUAAAUUAUUGAAAAAAAGAAAGGACACAAUAAGAAAUCAGCCAUCGUACUAUAUACGAUGACAAAAUUGAAAAUUAUUAAAUCAGAUAUAUAUUUAUACAUCUUCUUUCGAAAUAAAAGAACAAAUUGAAAACAAGAUAUGAUUUGAGAAAACGAAAAACAUACCCGGGGACGAUUGGGUAAAUGGUAUUGCCCCAUUCAUUUUUUAUCAUGUGAAGAUCUGAAUGGCAUAUCCCACAGUGAGUUACUUUGAAUGUCACAUCCUUCUCUCCCGUUGCUCUGCAAAAACAGACGAUUUAACAACAAAAGAAAAUGAAAAAAAAGGAAAAAGAAAAAAGGCGGAACCUCUAACCACCAGACAUCAGACAUGCAUAGUAAAAAUAAAUGUACGCAUAUAUCUAAUCUAAAGUUUUAUUUGUGAUUGAGAAGCUUAUGAGGAAAAAAAUUUGUUAUUAUGAAAUAAGAAUUAAUAGUAUGUAAUAAAUAUAAUAUUUAAAUAAUUUUAUUUAAUAACAACUGAAAAAUCAUAUGAAUAUACUUUUUAAAUUACAACGAUUAAUAUUUAUUAAACACUGUAUAUCGUAAAUUUUAAGUAUAUAUGCCCAUAUGUUGUAACUUUUAAGUAUGACAAACAUGACUUAAAAAGAUUGAUUGGAAAUGGCAUGAAGAGAAAGGGAAAGAAAAGAGAGAAAACGAUACCUUCUGGAGAAGUGAAAGGGGGAGAGAACGCCAGAAGUGUCCUUGGCAGCCCAUCCAAAGGCGUUCUUAGGGUGCUCUUGCUCCGGUGCUUGCCCCAUUUCAGAAUGAAUUUAAUGAUAUCGGUGUUUGUUGGCUUAGUUUGACGUCCAGGGUAUUUGAACAAACAAGUUGCGAUGCUGUAUGCCGGGUGGCCUUGGGCUUUUAUAGCGAGUAACAGCAUCUUCCCAUUUCGUUUGGCUGACGUAAUCGGUGAGGUAUUUUCCAAUUCAAUUCACCGACCCAGCCAUUCUUUAUUGACCAAAGCCAUUUUCCUUAAAAUGGUUCUCGAUUUCCUUUGUAGUUUCACUUUUUUGCCCUUUUAUUCGACGAUUCUAGAAACACCAUGACCUUCGAUCGUGUAAAGCGUUAGGUAUUAGUCACGGGCAAAUGUUCAUGUGUAAAAGCAACCCAGCACUGUUCCUUUACGGGUAUUUUUGGCGAUAUUUUUUUUAAAAAUAAAUUUCAACUAACGCGACAAUUUGUUGAAGAUAAAUAGUAAUAAUAUACUCUUAUUUAGGGAUGUAAUGAGUCUCGCUCCUCAAAAUAAUUAAAAAACUACAACAACCAAAAAAAGAAAGAAAAACUGAAAGGAGAAGACUUUUCGUGAUGUAUUUUGGUGGCAAAUAACACAACUUAUGUGGACGACUUACUCGGUUAUUUGUUACUUUUUUUAUGGCUUCAAAACUUUCAGGAGUGGCUAUUCAUGUGGCCCGCGGCUGCUACCCGCAACACAUUUCAAUUUAGAAAAAUGACACUGACAUACGCCCUAUUAACUACGCAAAUCUUUUGGACAAGCUUAUUAUUAAUUUUAUAUUUAGGAUAUUUUAAUUAGAUUUACUUAAAUUUUUUUAUCAAAGUGGACUCUUACUCUCGUUACUAUUUAAUUUUUUAAAGUUAAUGGAUUUAACAUUAAAAAAGAAAAAGUCAAAGACAAAAGGCAAGAACCUCUUAAAAACAUUCGUCGUGUGAAAAGGUCAAUAAUUAAUAAAUAAAAUAAAAUAAAAUAAAAUAAGAGAAAGUACUUAACAUAUAGGCUAAUCCAACCAACUGGAAAUAUAUAUAUAUUAAUGAACUCGCACGACCUUUUGAACACUUGAAGCCUCAUGAAUGAAUGACCAACUUCCCAGUACUUGGUAUGUACCUUUCUCUCUGUAAACUGUAGUUAAUCUUCCCAGCUGCUUACAUUCAAUUAUUUAUUUAUUUAUUUAUUUAUUCUUUUUAGUUCACACCUACUACAAACAUCAUGGGACGUUCGACGAGAUGGUUACACAAAUUCGAGGCAACCUCUCUUUCUCUGUAUACCGACCUUUCAUUUGUCGUUAAUUAAUUAAUUAAUUUUUGUAGUUUAAAUGACAAGUUAAAGAAGAACCUAUCAGAAUAGUCGUGUUACACAUUUGUGUUUUUGGCUCUUGUGGACGCCAGCUAUUCAAUCUGAAUGUGGAAACUUUGACAUGUGCACGUAACAAAAGUUUCGUCGCAUGAAGGACCAAAACAAAACAACGAGUUCUAUCAAUGUCAGAAGCAAAAAGAAAAAAAAAAAACGAAAAAAAAAAUUAAUCAAAAUCGAAAAAAAAAAUUAAUCAAAAUGUGCGAGAAGCAAAAAGAAAAAAAAAAAACGAAAAAAAAAAUUAAUCAAAAUGUGCGAACUUUGAAAAUUCUAUUCUAAUUCGAAUAGAACGAUGAUUGAAUUGCAUUUAUUUCUUGGGUCUCCCUAACUUACAUAUUUUACCAUCGCUCAAAACAAAGUGACACCGACCUCACAUGAUCCGCUCAUAUAUUGUUUUUAUUCUUUAUCUUAUUUCCCUUUUUAUUAAUUGUAACUUUCAAUAAAUGUAAUUUAAAGAUUAUAUUAAAUCUGACAAAGAUUUUUCGCCAUUUAGACACAACCGCCGUAAAAAAAAAAUUUCGUGCUGCGCACUGCUGUUACAAAUUUUGCACAUGCUUGAUGUGGUCAAGAGUUUGGUAUUCACACAAUUCACGUUAAAAAGAUCUUUACUGCAAUGAAAGAUGUAUAUAAAAUUUCAAAUACCAAUAGAAUCCUAUCAAAGAGCUUUCUAGAAUAACCAGAUGAUGGAGUAUUCAUAAUGCACGCAUUAACAACUAUUAUCUUAAAUAAUAAGACGUUUAUCCUCCUAAAUAUGAUAAAAAUAUUACAUUUCAUAAUGUACGCAUGGAUGGCCUAUCUUCUGGUAGCAGAAUAAAUUGAGAGUACCAGUCUAUCGUUGGAUUUGUAGCCCAAUGAUUAUUUGUGUUGAAACUUAGAUUUCUUAACCAUCCAAACAAAUGGAUCACCGUAUCAAUUUGAUUAAUAUUAUUAAGAUAUAUAUGCAUGCAAAUUAGUCAUGAAAACUCAUCCACAAAAAAGUUAGAAAUUUUACCUUAAAAUGAACCCACAAUUUUGAAAGAUGUUUAAAAAUCUUUAUGAAAUGUAAGAUACAUACUCUUCUAAUUGGAUCAUGAUUCUCUCUUGAUAUAAUCUUCUUCUGAGUAAGUUUUAUAUUUUAUUAAAUUGAUUGAUAAUUAAUAAAUUAAAAAUAAAGGUAGUUAAAUUUUAAUUAUAUAUCAACACUAAAAUUUAGGUAGCACAAGCAGAGCUUAGAUCAUAUCAUGUAUAUCAUGUACAUAUCAUUUUAGAUUAUGUACUACUAUGUACAUACCACAUACCAUUUUAGAUAUGGAUUUUACUAUUCUCUCUCUCUCUCUUUUUCAAUCAUAGUACAUAUUAAGAUGUAUCAAAAAAAAAAAAGAAUAAAUGAAAUUUCAUGAUAGAUUUGAUGGGGUGGUAAAACUUGAACUAUAUUCAUCUUGAUAGAAUCAUCCAUCGUGCAUCAACAUUGGGGGUGAACCGUGAGGUUCUAAGAAAAUGCUUCCAUUGACCGAUGAAGUUUUGUUUGUGUUCUUUGGUUGCAAAGUCGAAUAAGGAUUACGUGCUAAAUUAAGUUUUUACUGAAUAUUGAAUCAAUAGUUAUUAAUAGGAGAAAUUGUAAAAAUUUAAAAUUUAAAACAAUUCUAAUUAUUGAUUCAAUACUCGAUAAAAACUCAACAUAAUACUAAACCCUAAUCCUACAAAAUUUUCUGUUGGAAAACAUACAUGCAGUGUUGAAAAUUGUGAUGUGAAUUCAUGAGUCAUUUAGGACAAUCGUAUAUUUUUGUUCAAGGUCAGAGGAACCUAGACACUGCUGUCGCUACAUACCUUUGCGAAUAUGAUUUUAUAGAUUUCUGCCAUCUAUACUAAUUUUAUUAAAUUAUAUGACUUGAUAGUGUUUGGAUUAGAAAAAAAAAAAUGAAAAGUGCCGCAUGAAAGAAAAACUCUAUAUGUGAUUUAGAACAAAACAAACUUUUCGAUUGGACAAUUGGUGAAAGGUACAUAUGCUAAAUAUUUUAUAUGAACAAUAUUUUAUUUCAUUAACAUUUAGGGUGUGUUUGGUGUGUGGUAUUGCAUAUGAUUAAUUGUGGGCUCAGCAUUAAUUUAAACCAAUAACAUGUUUGGGAGCAGUUGAGCCUCAUUGGAAUUGGGCAUCGGGAGGCGCACUAAUGCGGGAACUCCCGCAUUAGCUUGUUUUUUUUUUUUAAACUUAAACUUUUAGUUUUACUUAAUAAUAAUAAAAAUGGAUAAAUAUAUAAUUUUUCUGCUGUACGGCCAAGGCGGAUGUACGGUACAGCAAAUAAAAUCUCGCUGGAUUGUAAUUAAUAAUAUAAAAUAUUUGCACAAUUCAUUUUGUAAUUAAAUUUCUAAAAUUUAAGACCUCUAUAUUUAUUUUUUUAAGUACUAAUAAAUGUUAUUUUUAUAAAUAUAUAAUAUAAAUUAAUCACAAAAAAUUAAUAUAGUACAUUACAACACCAAAUAUAGUAUAAUUAAAAAUUAAUACAAUACAAUACAACACCAAAUAUUGUACAAUAUUAUUAUAAUACAGUACUAAUGCAACACACCAGCAUAAAAAUAAUACAAUACAACAUAAUAUAAUACAGUGUGCCAAACGCACCCUUAUACUUUUUUGGCAAUCACGACAUAAUUAGGGUCGAUGUAUCUGAAAAUUAAAAGUAAUUUAAGCGCUAAAAGAGUGUAAUGAUCGAGGGAGCAUUACAUAUAGCAAAGUGGAUCAUGGAACAAAGUUGUGAAUUGAAGACACCAAUCUGAUUCUGAUUCUGAUUCUUCAAGGUUUGGUGGCAGCCAAGGUGUUUGCAAUAUCAAUGACAAAUCGAUACCGAACAUCAGCCUUGGCAAGCCGCUCCAUUGCCGUAUUGACAUAAUCCAUCGAAAUAACCUCAAUGUCAGCUGUUAUAUUGUGUUUUGCUGCAAAAUCAAUCAUCUCUUGCGUCUCUUUCAUUCCCCCAAUGCUGCUCCCUGACACCGUCUUCCUCCCUGCUAUGUCAUUUUAUGUUAUCAAAUGACUUAUAUUAAUUACAAGUUUUAGACCACAAGUUUCCGAAGAAUUUUGUUAGAACUUACCCAUAAUUAAGGAAAUCACAGGUAGCUCGAGUGGCUUGUCCGGAGCACCAACCAGAACAAGCUUGCCCUGGGACUUUAAUAGACCGAGCAAUGGCAAAAUGGGGUGCACAGCGGACACCGUGUCAAUAAUACCAUCCAAUGUGCCCAUGGCACCCUGAUGAAGUUAUUACAAAAUAUAUAUUAAAAUUAAGGAAUGCAUUUUAUUUUUUAUUUUUCUCCAAUAUAUGCGUGAAUCUAAUUAAAUUACCUGCAAUUGGUCAGGGUCACGGCUAUUCAAAAAUGAAUCAGCGCCAAGAUGUUCAAGAGCUUCAGUCUUCUUGCUUGGAGAGGUGCUAAUUACUGUCACUUUGGCCCCAAAAGCCUUGGCAAAUUUGACAGCGACAUGACCAAGCCCGCCAAGGCCAACGAUGCCUACAUGCUUUCCUUGUUCUGCUAGUUCAAAGUAUUUCAAUGGACUGUACACGGUAAUCCCGGCGCAAAGCAGGGGAGCAGCAGCAUCAAGGGGCAUGCUAUCAGGGAAUCGAACAAUGUAGCGCUCAUUGGCAACCAUGUGAUCAGAGUAGCCUCCGUAUGUGAUUGUUCCGUCAGUGUUAAUGGAAGUGUAGGUGGGUAUCACUUUCGGACAGUAAUUUUCAAGGUCAUUGGCACAGCUCUCGCAGCUGUGGCAUGCACCAACCAUGCAUCCAACUCCAACUUUAUCUCCCACUUUAACCUUUCUUACUUUGCUACCAACUUCUGUCACUUCCCCUGCAAUUUCAUGCCUGCAAAUAAAUACAAUUUGUUUAUGAUAAAUUACUUUAGUGGAAACAAGGUAUUUGAUUCUGUUUUUGACAAUAUAUAACUAGCUAGCUUCUGGAAACGUAUAUACUACACCACUCCACCAACUUUUCUUUUGUCAGUAAGUUUCUCAAUCAUAAAAUUCUUCAAGCAAAGAAAUUUGAAAUUUGAAAAUUUACAAGUCUUCAUUUGAAUGCAAAUUCAAGUUACAAGUCAUGUCUCCGUUUAUUUGUCAACCUCGUCUAUCCCUCAAGUAAAAUCUCAUAAUUGACCAUUCCGCAAUUACACAGGUGUACCAUUUUGAUGGGUUAAGUCUUUAGUGUGAUCUCAACACUCUAAUGAUGCCAAGGCACCCCACUGGCCACUACACUGGAAUAUUUAAAAAUUGUACAGAGUCAAAUGGAAAUAAAUUAAUUUUAUUGGGAAAAAAAAAAGAUAUCUAUGCUAACAACGCUUUAAUUGAGUUAAUUGUUAUUUCCACCCUUUAUUUAUAAGAUAGAGAGUAUAAAUCUACCAAGAGUUAUGAAGAUAAUGUAUAAGAAAAAUACAUAUUUUCAUCCAAUAUAUUUUAUUUUAUAUUACAUUAAAAUUUGUGUGUCUCUAUUUUUGUUUAAUUUGUUGUAAGAAAAUCUUAUUAAACGAUGAUGACCCGUAAAUAUAUAUGUUUGCCACUUUUAACAGGAGAUUCCAGUUAUUCAUCACAUCAAAUAUGGAACGGUAAGAUUAAAACCCUCGUUACCAAUAUUUCACUAGCACCUCUAUAUAAGAUAGAAUUAAAUAGGAUUGGGGACGAUUUGUAUCAAAUUAAAAGAUCCCAAAGCCUUGGCCUUGGUUAAUCUCUUUCUGUAUACACAGGCAAGUACCGUAGUUAAUAAUUAGGGAGCGCCGUGACGGAAACAACAGCCUGUUCAUGCGUAGCUGGGUUUGACCCGAAACAAAAACAAAUGCAAAAAAAAAUGCAAAAGAAACAAAAAUUGAAGGGUAGAUAGAUCAUGGGUACAUACCCAGGAACCAUAGGGAAGAGAGAGAAGCCCCAUUCAUUCUUGAUGUUGUGGAGAUCAGUAUGGCAGAUCCCACAAUACAAUACCUUCAGCCUCACAUCCUCAUCACCCGUUUCCCUGUCCGUAUUUUACAUAUCCACGUUUAUGACCAUUUCAUCAACACGUACAGUAACAAAAUUUUAAAUAAAUUUAAAGCAGCAUCACACAUAUAUAUUAUGCUCAACUAUUAAUUACCUUCUGGAGAAGUUGAAUGGGGAGAGAUGGCCGGAGCUGUCUCGGGCUGCCCACCCAAAGGCCUUUACUGGAUGUUCUUCUUCUGGUGAUUUUGCCAUUUUGGAUGAGAGAACGGCAAUGUUAUCAUUAUUAUAGUGGUUUGAAUGAUGUGAUGAGACGAGUAAAAGUACCAGUUUUUGUUUAUGCUUCAUAUGAAUGUUAAUGUGUGUACAGAUGUUUCUAAUCAAGAUUUUUUAUUAUAUUAAAGAGAAGAUAAAUUAAAAAAUAUAAAUACAAAAUUUAAUAUAAUAUAUUUUAUUUUAUAAUAUAUUCAUUGUUUAGUGAGGUUCACUUAUGUUGCAACUAUAAUAUGGUACCGCAUUUACUUUCAGCAGUCCGAUAUAGCUAACGUAACUGUGUAAUUAUGGAUUUAACAACUGAUUUAGUGAUGAUUUCAAUAUAUUAAGUUAUUAACGGAUAAAAAAAUAUAAUUUUAAUUUUUUAAUACAUUAAAGUCGGUGUUUUUUUUUUAUAUUUUGUUAAUAUCUUCACCUUAAUAAAGUGAAGAUGUCAUAAUCGAGAAAAAUUAUAUAUAAUGAAGACUAAUUAGAUAAUAUUAUAAUUUUUAAAAUAAUUAUUAUUAGAUGUGAUGUAGAAAUAACUGCUGUACCGUACAUCCGCCUUGGCCGUUUUUUAUUGUGUAUAUAUAAUAAUUAUUAAUAAACAUAAUAUAUAUAAUAAUUUUUUAUCUCAAUAUUAUUGAUAAUGAUAAUAAUCUCUUCAAAAUAAUUUUAUUUUAUAAUUAAUAUGAAUAAUUUAAAAUUUUCCUAAUAUAUAUAAAAAAAUCAGUUUUUAACUUUUAAAUUAUUUUCGAGGAUCUCAAAAAUAAUAAUUAUCGGGAACAGGCUAACAGCAGGGAGGUGGAGAGAGGGGGUCAUAAAUUUUGCUAUUUAAAUUUUCCUAAUAUAUAAAAAAAAUCAGUUUUUAACUUUAAAAUUAUUUUCGAGCAUCUCAAAAAUAAUAAUUAUCGGGAACAGGCUGACAGCAGGGAGGUGGAGAGAGGGGGUCAUAAAUUUUGCUGAAGUAAUCAGUGAGCUAACAUGUGACAUACGGAUGCGCUAUGUAUGGGAUGUCCACCGUCAAUGACAUGGCGGACCAGCGAGAUACUUCUUGGGUCAGCUUCACCAUUAUUAUUAUUAUUAUUAUUCAAUUCCUAGUGUCGCAAACUCAAAGGUGGAUACCUGUCAAAAGCAACACCACGAACAACCAUUAUGAGACUUACGGCAAAAUGAGAACCCAGCGCGCUGAUUCGGUGGAAUUAAUGAUCACAAAAAUUUGAUUUUUUUUAAAAAAUAAUUACAAAUAUUUUUUUUGAUAAAUUUUAAAGGCUAAUGUGAAUUUUGUUGUUUUUUUACUUUUUAACAUAAAGAAUAUCAUAAGGUAUUGUAUAACUAUUGUUCAAUAAAAAAUUAAAUUUAUAUAUUUUUAAAAAGAUAAGACCUUAUCUUAAUUUAAAUUCUUUUGAAUUUUUAAAAAUCUUGCAGUUAAAUUCAAAUUAAAUAAAGAUAAAAAUAAAUUUGUGUAAUUAUUUUUAAAAAUAAAAAAUAUUUUUGUGAAUUUUUUUAAACUGGGAGAAUAUUAAUAUUUUUUUAUACUUAAAAUUUAUUUAUUAAACAUCUUGGAAAAAAAUUAAUUAAACUGGGAGAAUAUUGAUAUUUUUUUUCAAAUACCAAUAGAAUCCUAUCAAAGAGCCUUCUAGAAUAACCAGAUGCUGAGUAUUUAUAAUGUACACAUUAACAAUUAUUAUCUUAAAUAAUAAGACGUUUAUCCUCCUAAAUAUGAUAAAAAUAUUACAUUUCAUAGUGUACACAUGGACGGCCUAUCUUCUGGUAGCAGAAUAAAUUGAGAGUACCAGUCUAUCGUUGGAUUUGUAGCCCAAUGAUCAUUUGUGCUGAAACUUAGAUUUUCUUAACCAUCCAAACAAAUGGAACACCGUAUCAAUUUGAUUAAUAUUAUUAAGAUAUAUAUGCAUGCAAAUUAGUCAUGAAAACUCAUCCACAAAAAGUUAGAAAUUUUACCUUAAAAUGAACCGACAAUUUUAAAAGAUGUUCAAAAAUAUUUAUGAAAUGUAAGAAACAUACUCUUCUAAUUGGAUCAUGAUUCUCUCUUAAUAUGAUUUUCUUUUGAGUAAGUUUUAGGGGUGGCAAAACGAAUAAACGAAUCGAAUUCGAAUCGAAUCGUAAAUGAAUUGGGUCAAAAUUCUAUGGAUUCGAAUUCGAUUCGUUUAUUAAAAGAAUUGAAAUUUCAAGAUUCGGAUUCGAUUCGUUUAUUAAACGAAUAUUCGGUUCAAUUCGUUUAAUUCGUUUAAUAGAAUUGAUAAACGAAUCGAAUCGAAUCCGGAUUCGUUUAUUAUUCGUUUAUCCUUUACGAAUCCAUAACGAAUCGAAUCGAAUCAGGAUUCGUUUACAAUUCGUUUAGAAAAAUAUAAUUAAUAAACAAAAUUAAGCAAAAAAAACACAAAUUUAAUAUCCCACAACAAAAUACAAAUAAUUCAAAUCAUAUUAUACAGUCAUCCAAAUAACAAAUACCAAAUCCUUAAUAUUACAAAUAACAAUAAUUCAAAUUGAAAUUAUAAAGAAAUGUAAUUUCUUUAAUUCUUUUCAUUUGUCUUUGUCACCUUGAAAACAAAAAUCCUACACGAAAAAAUAAAUAAAAUGUUAUUAACAUGCUCCAAUAUUGAUAAUAGUCAUUGUAAAAUUUCAAAAAUCAAAUAUAUAGCAAAUUUGUAGCAUUUUCAAGGAAAUAAUAAUUAAACAAGAUAAAAACCUUACCUAACACUGUCAUUUGGAUCAUUUGCACUCUCUACAGAUGGAGCACAAUUAGUGCUCAUGUUCAUAAACUAAUAAAUCAAAGAAAAAGUCUAACAGAGAAAUUAACAUACAUAAUCACUUUCAAGCACCAUUACCAAGACCACGAAUCUAUUCAUCAUGUAUGCCAAAUUCUAACCCGGCAAUAUUCCUAAUGCACAAUAUUCCAAUACACAAAAUAUUAACAAUACAACAUAAUAAAUUAUAAAUUCUAAUACUAAAAAAAAUUUUAAUCCAAUAUUUGUGGGAGCUUCUUCCUUAUCCUACAGAUAAUUUUUAACACCAUAAUCGAUUUAUACAUAAUUUCAUAAUAUUUUCCGAACAAUACAAAACAUUUUAAAUGCAGUGCGUUUAUGUGCGACAGGCACCUGUCCCACUUGCCUGUCUCACUAAAUUUCAUAUAUGUUUCGAAAGCCAUAACUUGAGCUAUAUAUGUUCGUUUUAGGCGUAUAAUAUACCGUUUCGAAGUUUACGACGAGACAAAUCAAAUCCAAAAUCAUGUAUUCCGUAAACGCCGUGAGUUUAUGUGCGAUAAGCAGUGGGACAGGUGCCUAUCGCACAUAAAUGCAGUGCGUUUAUGUGCGACAGGCACCUGUCCCACUUGCCUGUCUCACUAAAUUUCAUAUAUGUUUCGAAAGCCAUAACUUGAGCUAUAUAUGUUCGUUUUAGGCGUAUAAUAUACCGUUUCGAAGUUUACGACGAGACAAAUCAAAUCCAAAAUCAUGUAUUCCGUAAACGCCGUGAGUUUAUGUGCGAUAAGCAGUGGGACAGGUGCCUAUCGCACAUAAAUGCAGUGCGUUUAUGUGCGACAGGCACCUGUCCCACUUGCCUGUCUCACUAAAUUUCAUAUAUGUUUCGAAAGCCAUAACUUGAGCUAUAUAUGUUCGUUUUAGGCGUAUAAUAUACCGUUUCGAAGCUUACGACGAGACAAAUCAAAUCCAAAAUCAUGUAUUCCGUAAACGCCGUGAGUUUAUGUGCGAUAAGCAGUGGGACAGGUGCCUAUCGCACAUAAAUGCAGUGCGUUUAUGUGCGACAGGCACCUGUCCCACUUGCCUGUCUCACUAAAUUUCAUAUAUGUUUCGAAAGCCAUAACUUGAGCUAUAUAUGUUCGUUUUAGGCGUAUAAUAUACCGUUUCGAAGCUUACGACGAGACAAAUCAAAUCCAAAAUCAUGUACUCCAUAAAAUCCAUGGGUUUAUGCGCGACAAGCAAUGGAACAGGUGCCAUGGCUUUGUAAAUUUGAAAAAGUGGCAUGGCUUUGUAAAUUUGAUGAAAGUGAUGAGGGUAAUGUAGUCCAAACAUAAGGUGUUUGGCUAGUUAUGAUAGAAAAAACUUUGGGGGGUUAAAGUUGAAAAACGUAAAAGUUUUAUGGCUAAUUUUGUAAAUUUCCCAAACAUUUUCUAAACCAUAAUCUCAUAAUAUUCUACAAUACAAAAUUUCUCAAUAAUUCAACCAUAAUCUCAUGAUAUUACUCUGAGUUGGUGAUGGCUUGUUGAUUCGGGUCGCCUGGGCACUAGUUCGGGUCGCAGUCGCCUGGGUUUGCUGCUGCUGCACCGCCGCACGGGUUAGCCACUACUGUGGGUUCGAGUGGCUGCUAAUACGUUGCGCAGCUGAUGCUCCUGGGUUGCUGCCGAGUCGCGGGCUGCACUCGCGUGGCUGCGUCCCUCAAGCUCAAUCGACGAUAGAUGAACGAUGGUGGUUGUAAUCGUCGGUUCGCUGUGAGUUAAUGACAAGUUCCCUGUGAGUUAAUGACAGUGGCUACCGGCGGUUGUUUUUGUUGCUUGAUUGCUUCACUUGGUAUGGGUGGGUGAGUGUGAUUCGUGUGAGAGAGGUAGAGAGCAACGAGAGCGGCUGAGUGAGGGGAGAAUUUUUAGGGAUUUAGCCUUUAGGUUUCCGCUACUUUGUUUUUUUUUUUGGUUAUUUUCUUAAAAGUAAAUUUUCAAACCCGCAUUCGAUUCGUUUAAUUAACGAAUCAAAUCGAAUUCAUCCAUUUAUUAAACGAAUCAAUUUUUUUCAAACCCAAACCCAUUUAAUUCGCAUCGAAUCGAAUCGAAUAAACGAAUCCUGACCUAUAUUGCCACCCCUAACUGUAAUAGCAAAUCAAAUAGUAAGUUUUAUAUUUUAUUAAAGUGAUUGGUAAUUAACAAAUUAAAAAAUAAAGGUAGUUAAAUUCUAAUUAUAUACUAACACUAAAAUAUAGGUAGCACAAGCAGAGCUUAGAUCAUAUCAUGUACAUCAUAUACAUACCAUUAUAGAUCAUGUACUACUAUAUACAUACCACAUACCAUUUUAGAUAUGGAUUUUACUAUUCUCUCUCUCUCUCUCUUUUUCAAUCAUAGUACAUAUUAAGAUCUACAAAAAAAAAAAAGAAUAAAUGAAAUUUCAUGAUAGAUUUGAUGGGGUGGUAAAACUUGAACUAUAUUCAUCUUGAUAGAAUCAUCCAUCAUGCAUCAACAUUGGGGGUGAACCGUGAGGUCCUAAGAAAAUGCUUCCAUUGACCGAUGAAGUUUUGUUUGUUUUCUUUGGUUGCAAAGUCGAAUAAGGAUUACGUGCUAAAUUAAAUUUUUACUGGAUAUUGAAUCAAUAGUUAUUAAUAGGAGAAAUUGUAAAAAUUUAAAAAUUUAAAACAAUUUUAACUAUUAAUUCAAUGAUUGAUUCAAUACUCGAUAAAAAUUUAACAUAACACUAAACCCUAAUCCAGAGAAAUUUUCUGUUGGAAAACAUAUAUGCAGCGUUGAAAAUUGUGAUAUGAAUUCAUGAGCCAUUUAGGACAAUCGUAUAUUUUUGUUCAAGGUCAGAGGAACCUAGACGCUGCUGUUGCUACAUACCUUUGCAAAUAUGAUUUUAUAGAUUUCUGCCAUCUAUACUAAUUUUAUUGAAUUAUACGACUUGAUAGUGUUGGUACGAGAAGAAAAAAAAAAUGAAAAGUGCCGCAUGAGAGCAAAACUCUAUAUGUGAUUUAGAACAAAACAAACUUUUCAACUGGACAAUUGGUGAAAGGUACAUAUGCUAAAUAUUUUAUAUGAACAAUGUUUUAUUUCAUUAACAUUUAUAGUUUUUUGGCAAUCACGACAUAAUUAGGGUGAUGUAACUGGAAAUUAAAAGUAAUUUAAGCGCUAAAAGAGUGUAAUGAUCGAGGGAGCAUUACAUAUAGCAAAGUGGAUCAUGGAACAAAGUUGUGAAUUGAAGACACCAAUCUGAUUCUGAUUCUGAUUCUUCAAGGUUUGGUGGCGGCCAAGGUGUUUGCAAUAUCAAUGACAAAUCGAUACCGAACAUCAGCCUUGGCGAGCCGCUCCAUUGCCGUAUUGACAUAAUCCAUCGAAAUAACCUCAAUGUCAGCUGUUAUAUUGUGUUUUGCUGCAAAAUCAAUCAUCUCUUGC